rnacentral:rRNA from 1 species
CUACGGGUCGCACCAGUGGGGAAUAUUGCACAAUGGAGGAAACUCUGAUGCAGCAACGCCGCGUGGAGGAUGACACUUUUCGGAGCGUAAACUCCUUUUAUAUAGGAAGAUAAUGACGGUACUAUAUGAAUAAGCACCGGCUAACUCCGUGCCAGCAGCCGCGGUAAUACGGAGGGUGCAAGCGUUACUCGGAAUCACUGGGCGUAAAGAGCGUGUAGGCGGGUUAAUAAGUCAGAAGUGAAAUCCUAUGGCUCAACCAUAGAACUGCUUUUGAAACUGUUAACCUAGAAUAUGGGGGAGGUAGAUGGAAUUUCUGGUGUAGGGGUAAAAUCCGUAGAGAUCAGAAGGAAUACCGAUUGCGAAGGCGAUCUACUGGAACAUUAUUGACGCUGAGACGCGAAAGCGUGGGGAGCAAACAGGAUUAGAUACCCCCGUAGUC